rnacentral:rRNA from 1 species
UACGAAGGGGGCUAGCGUUGCUCGGAAUUACUGGGCGUAAAGGGCGCGUAGGCGGCACUGUUAGUCAGGCGUGAAAUUCCUGGGCUCAACCUGGGGACUGCGCUUGAUACGGCAGAGCUUGAGGAUGGAAGAGGGUCGCGGAAUUCCCAGUGUAGAGGUGAAAUUCGUAGAUAUUGGGAGGAACACCAGUGGCGAAGGCGGCUCACUGGUCCGGUACUGACGCUGAGGUGCGAAAGCGUGGGGAGCAAACAGG